rnacentral:rRNA from 1 species
AGUGAACGCUGGCGGCAGGCCUAACACAUGCAAGUCGAACGAGUGGCGGACGGGUGAGAAAUAUAUGGGAAUCUACGCUGUAGUGGGGGAUAACGUGGGGAAACUUACGCUAAUACCGCAUACGAUUGAAUGAGCCGAUGUGGGAUUAGCUAGUUGGCGGGGUAAAGGCUCACCAAGGCGACGAUCCCUAGCUGGUCUGAGAGGAUGAUCAGCCACACUGGAACUGAGACACGGUCCAGACUCCUACGGGAGGCAGCAGUGGGGAAUAUUGGACAAUGGGCGCAAGCCUGAUGCAGCCAUGCCGCGUGGAUGAAGAAGGCCUUCGGGUUGUAAAGCCCUUUUGGUGGGGAGGCGGUACCCAAAGAAGAAGCACCGGCUAACUUCGUGCCAGCAGCCGCGGUAAUAC